rnacentral:lncRNA from 1 species
AUAGGGGGAGGGGGCGUCCAGCCAAGGGGGAGAAAAAGGGGGUGGCGGCCAAGAGGGGGGUGAAGGGAAAAAAGGGGUGGCCACCUAGGGUUUUUGUGGGAGAAAGAAACGACGCCUCAGAUGACUUCUAUCUUUGCAUCCAAUGGCCCACAACCCUUUACCUCAUCCACGCACCAGAGAUUAACUUUUGGUCAACAUUUUUUUGGGAUAUUACACUCUACCCCCCUUAAAAAGAAUUCGACCUCGAAUUCGGCCACUCCAAGCAAAACACCCAAGGUACCCCAUAUAGCACCACAAUUCAAAACACUGGGUCCAUUAUUGGUCUUAAUUAACACAAGAACUUCUACCUUGGACUAAUUGUCUAAGGAAACUACACGACCUGACAUCAAGCAUGAAACAACAUGUAAUGAAGCUCAAAGCAUGUCAUAGUUGCAAUCAACACUCCAAUUUCACACCAUCAAAUUUGGAUGCAGCUAUACAUCAACAUCAAUGUCUUAAGACAACACUCUUUUAUGAAGGGGUAAUAUGCACCAAGCACAACCCUUACCAACUUCAACCAUUAAUUUUAAUUAAAUGGUGAAACAUCUACACCCGACGAAUGUAUAAGAAGAUCAAACACCUCACCUUAAAGCACUAUGAAACAAGUAGUUCCAUUGGAACAAAACUCCUAAUCUUCCUAAACCUUAUUCUUGCCAUCAUGAAAAGAUAAUCAUGUAAUCUAACAUUCCUUGCACCCCACCAAAAGGGAGAAAAUCUAUAGAACUAAUGGAGCAAUAAAGCCAAAAGAAGCCAAUAACAUCUUGUGCGGCAUAGUUCAUCGAAGAAAUGCCAAAAACUCUACAUAGAGCACUGAUAGCCCAACAACAACACAAUACUUGCUUAACCCAUGUCACUAUACUUCAUUCAACAUCUCAACUAAGAAAAAUAUCCAACUAGUAAGGAUAACCUACACAUAAUAUAAGUCUUCAUCUACUGUAGUUCAGAAACUUACAUUUCAUUCUAUCAUACGAUGCACUCAAAGUACCAGACAUACAAAGUCAAUAAUAAUAACCCCUAAUCCUUCACACAUUUGACAAACAUAUUAAGCUGAUGUAAACACCACAUGAUCUAGGAAUAGGUGACUAGCCACACCCAACCAACUCUAGGCUAGGCAAGGACUUUCUUCAAACCAAUAGAUAGGUGGUCUAAAAAAAAUGGCUCCACAAGCAUGCAUCGAAAAGGGAACCAUCAGAUCCUCAAUGUAUCAAUACAUAAUCAAUGGAUCAAGAGAAUCAAAGAUUUAGUCUACAAUUAGUAUGACUAACAGGCAACCACUUUAAACCACAUCUAGGCUUUGUGGCAACUAAAACACACAAUAUGAGAGAGACAUGUAAGCCAUUCUGGCUAUGAAAAGACUUCCCCCAAAAAUCCAUAUAAAGUACCAAUAUUCAUUUCUUUCAAAACUGGUUUCUCAACAUAAACAAUCAUUCUUUGCAAUGAUAGUUGGAGCUAUCCACCAACCGCUCAACAACUUAAAUUCAAAUUGAUGAUUACCUUGUACCCCAAAACACACAAUUCACACUCCUCUUAGAAACAUCCACAAUCAAGCAUAUAUAACAAUAUUAUUGUAAUAAAACUCAACCAUGAAAAACAUGGUGAAAACAACAUAGGCAUACUUGUAUAUCACAAGCAUAAUAACAACUUCAUUCUCACCAAUGACCAGCGAUAUCUACCGCAUUAAUAAAACAAUAUAAAAAUUUCAGAAAUAAAUUAUAUCAAGCAUUAAGCCAUAAACAACUUACCACAUCACCGUAAAGGAAUAGGGAGGGGUGAAACUAUUGUCAUCUGCACUCCAAAGACAUUAAUAUAUAUCAAAGAUAUUUGAACCCAUACCCUUCCUAUAUGUGCAAGUGUGUCAAAUUUAUCUUCAAAUUGCCAAGAAUCUAAAGCCUAUGCUUUGAUACCAACUGUAACACCCUGGGAUCCACAAACACCCCAGAAUGCUACUAAACUACACAUCUAAUAUUCAUAUAUAAAAUUUCGACAGCAUCUCCUUUGAAAAUUGCAUAAACGGGGGAAGCAACAAAGUAUAAAUAGAUAUCAUGAUAAGAAAACAUAUAAGACAUUAAUAAUCUGCUAGCAAUGGGAAGACAACCAUAACAACAUGAACUGAAUUAAUCAGUGCGCACGACUAGUUAAAAACAAACAUCCUUUGACAAGAAGUUUCUAAUUAAAUCAUGGCUGCGUCUGGGCAGCAUUAUUAUGAGAAUGAAGGUGGAUGUGCUGCUACUUCCCACUCCCCUUGAUGAGCAACAAGCACCUGCAUUGAGUAAUGCAAGAGUGAGAUGAAACAUCUCAGCAAGCUAAUUGUUCUGACGAGAUAUUUAAACCACAAAUUGAAUUCAUCAACAUUUUAAAAGAGUCACAAUUAAAAAUCAGAAAUGCUUGUAGAUAUAGAACUCAGUAGUCCCACUAUAACCAAUACCAUCUCAUUUCCUCGAACAACCACAAUAGGUUCUAUAACACUUCCCUGCGUCAACAAUACCUGCAAAUAUCACUUCAAUGUAUGCAUAGGAAUGCAAUGUGUAGGUACUCUAUCUUCAUACCUCUGGGGGUAUAAAACCACAUCAUCUGCAAAUAUCACUUCAAUGAAUGCAUAUGAAUGCAAUGCAUAUGUCCUCUGCCUUCAUACCUCUAAGGGUAUGAAGCCGCAUCGUACCCCUUCUCGGGCAACGUACGAUGCUAAGUUGUACCGAUACGGUCGGACCAUAGGUCACGACAAAACUUCAUAUGCAAAUGAGUCAUGCAAUGUAUAUGGCAUGCUACAUUUAUCAAUAAACUUCACUUCCUUCAGAUACAAAACAAACCUCAAAUAAUACUUCAUUUACCUUCAGAUACAAUACCAACCUCAAAUAAUACUUCAUUUACCUUCAGGGGUGUGAAUUAAUCUCAUGAGUCAUACUCAAAUCAUAAUCAUCAUCAAUAUACGAUUGAGCAUCAGUAUAAUGCAAGCAAGUAAAGCAUCACCAUAGAGUCCAAUUAUGAAAGAAUCUGAUACUUCUGAAUAUUAGAGUGUAGGCGAUAGAAAUAACAGGUCAGAACGGAAGCAACCACCGCUACAUUCACUUGCCUUCAUCGAAGAAGAAGAAAUGUAAUAGACAUGAUCUGGAGUGUAGCCACCUGCUAGUGGGCAUAAAACUUAGUACAAAUAUUUCACAAACAUUUGCCAUCAAUCAACAAAACACUCCUACACUUGAAACCAAGACCCAGUGGAAAGACUCCCACCCUGAACCACAUGCCAUACAGCAGCAACGCUGUUUGUUAAUUUUGUAUCUUUAAAAUUAAAACAGCGGUGAUAUCAAACAAAUACUCUAGGAGUAUCUACACAAAAUACUCUACAACUUCAGUAUUCAAUAGAUAAUUAAAUUCUGCCAUCUACAAGUUCUAAAACAUCUGACAAGAUAACUGACUGAAUCUGUUUUAGACAGCAGUAUGGUUAACUUUAAAAUUCGAUAUCUCCAAAACUGCUGAACCAAAAAUUAUGAAAUUCUUCUGGAAGUAAGAACUUUUAUCCCUCUACAAAAGUCUCCAUAGUUGGAAGAGCCAAUUCGGCCAUUUACUAGAUGAAACCCACCAGUGAACAGACCCACUCAUUUUUGUCAGGUAAACAGGAACAGCCACAGUAAAACAAACAUAACUGGAGUUUCACAAAUCAUAUGAAUGCACUCUUUAACAAUCUGGAAAGCUUAUAAAAUUAUCUACAACUUCUUUUACCAACCCACAGUUUAAUUCUGUUGAUAAAAUUGCCUAAAUCUUAAGAGAACAGAUCCUGCACAGAAUUAUGAGACUGAAAAACUGCUAUAGUAAAACUACAAUAACUUUCUGGUCGGAUGUCCGAUUGAGGUGUUCUUCGCGGCCACGGAAAGAUCUACAAAUUAUCUACGACUCAUACAUAGACUUUUUAUUUUUUUGAGGCCACUAAGACCACGGAAAACUGGCAUGAACAGAAACUGUCGAAUCUGCCAUUCUGCAGAAAACUAAAUUCGAGAUCAAAACCUAACCCCACAUCAAAUCCAACCUCUAAUCCUUUAAUUCCCAUGAUCCACAACCUCCAAAAGCCUAUAAUUACAGGGAGGAACAAGGAUCUCAUCCAUACCUAGGGUUUCCCCAAGAAAUCUUCAAGAGGAGAUGGGGAAGAACAUCUCCUUGAUCCUCUCUUCCUCUUCAAUUCAACGUGCCCCUCCUUUUCUCGAUCCUUGCUGCGUAGGGGGAGAUCUUGGGGGAGGAAGCAAUGGAGG